rnacentral:tRNA from 1 species
GAGGGUAUAGCUCAGUGGUAGAGUGCUUGCUUAGCAAGCUCGAGAUGCUGGGUUCAAUCCCCAGUACCUCCA